UUGGCAACGUCGCAAUUCAAAUUUGACAUUGUUUACAUGCUGUCAUUUACAACGUGUGUGCGUCUGUUUAAAAUCUUUUUUAAUUUUCUCGUUAUUGUUGUUAUUAUUGCAUAAAAAUGGGUGACAGGCAUAAAUGUUGUUGCCGCUUUUGUUUAACAUCUCUUAAGAUUAUUUGUCAGACAUUUUCUAAUAAUGCCAUACACGCGUCUGCUUGUAGUUUGGGAGUAAACUUUUAUACCAAUAACAGUUUUGUUUUUUCAAAACAUUUUGAACUGGAUUAAUUAGGAAAUUGCCAAAAAUAGUUUGGACACGAUAUUCCUCACAAAGGGAGCCCGAACACUCAGUAAAAAAUGUUGCAGAAAAGAGACAGGAUGAAAAUAUCUUAACUAAAUUACAUUGUGAAUGAAUUAAUGAAGAUAGCAUUGAUUGUGGAGUAAUAUUAUUGGUAUAGUAAUUUUUAUUUCUACUGUUACUAUUAGACAAAAAACAAGGUGCAAGGGCUUGUACAAAUUGAAUGAAUUUUUAAAAAUCAAUUUAAUUAUGUUAAAAAAUAGAUGGUGUUUCACUGAAAAUAACUAAAUUAUUGAUGUUUUAGAAUGCACAAAAUUCAACAUACAUAACGAACACCCUGUAUAAAAUUUGGGAGUACUAAUAAUGGCUCUUUAUAGGAUCAUCCUUUGUUAAAGUGUAUGCCACAAAUGAACUUUCCAGCAACAAAAUUGGUGGUUUUACAGACAAUUUAGUUAGACCAUCAAUUUGUCAAAAAUUUUGGAAAAAAAUUAAUAACUCCAAAACUAUUGGGUUUAAAUAUAUGAUAUGGUAUAACCAUUUUAUUUGCAAUUACAUAUAGAAUUUAAAAAUCCAAAAAUAUACAGGGUGUUUCCAUUGAAAAUAAUAAAGUUGAUGUCAACGAAAUUUUGUUCAAAAUAAAUUAGAAAAGUAGUUGAAGUAUAAUUAUUAUAAAAAUAACUAAUCAAUACCUUUUGCCGUUCUCCAUGAACUAAUAUAUGAGCUAUGUGUUUCAGAAACAUACAUGAUACCGUUGUACUAAAUAAGGCCAUUGCAUCCUUAAAAAAGAAAAAAAGGACAUGACUGUACUACACUUAUGAUCAUAGGAUGUUAUACUUACUGCCACAACUUCAAAUACAACCUCUUUUUAAAUGAAAAAGCAGGAUAUAAUACUAAAAUUGAGAUAAUUCAGUUAUUAUUUUUAGUUAUGUGUUUGGUUCAACAAAUAAAUAUAUUUUGCAAUUAUUGUAUAUUACAAAAUAAAUUAAUAUAUAAUAAUAAAUGUAAAUUAUUCAUAUUA